AGAUUGAACGCUGGCGGCAUGCCUUACACAUGCAAGUCGAGCGGCAGCGCGGGGGCAACCCUGGCGGCGAGCGGCGAACGGGUGAGUAAUACAUCGGAACGUGUCCAGUAGCGGGGGAUAACCUGUCGAAAGAUAGGCUAAUACCGCAUACGACCUACGGGUGAAAGCGGGGGACCGCAAGGCCUCGCACUAUUGGAGCGGCCGAUGUCGGAUUAGCUAGUUGGCGGGGUAACGGCCCACCAAGGCGACGAUCCGUAGCUGGUCUGAGAGGACGACCAGCCACACUGGAACUGAGACACGGUCCAGACUCCUACGGGAGGCAGCAGUGGGGAAUUUUGGACAAUGGGCGCAAGCCUGAUCCAGCCAUGCCGCGUGAGUGAAGAAGGCCUUCGGGUUGUAAAGCUCUUUCGGCGGGGACGAAACGGUCCGUGACAACACCACGGACUAAUGACGGUACUCGCAGAAGAAGCACCGGCUAACUACGUGCCAGCAGCCGCGGUAAUACGUAGGGUGCGGGCGUUAAUCGGAAUUACUGGGCGUAAAGCGUGCGCAGGCGGCUCCUUAAGUCAGAUGUGAAAUCCCCGGGCUUAACCUGGGAACUGCGUUUGAAACUGAGGGGCUUGAGUGUGGAAGAGGGGGGUGGAAUUCCAGGUGUAGCAGUGAAAUGCGUAGAGAUGUGGAGGAACACCGAUGGCGGAGGCAGCCCCCUGGGUCAACACUGACGCUCAGGCACGAAAGCGUGGGGAGCAAACAGGAUUAGAUACCCUGGUAGUCCACGCCCUAAACGAUGCGAACUAGGUGUUGGGGAAGGAGACUUCCUUAGUACCGCAGCUAACGCGUGAAGUCGC
rnacentral:rRNA from 1 species